rnacentral:rRNA from 1 species
UACGUAGGGGGCAAGCGUUGUCCGGAUUUAUUGGGCGUAAAGAGCGUGUAGGCGGCCAGGUAGGUCCGUUGUGAAAACUGGAGGCUUAACCUCCAGCUGUCGAUGGAAACCAUUUGGCUAGAGUCCGGAAGAGGAGAGUGGAAUUCCUGGUGUAGCGGUGAAAUGCGCAGAUAUCAGGAAGAACACCCGUGGCGAAGGCGGCUCUCUGGGACGGUACUGACGCUGAGACGCGAAAGCGUGGGGAGCGAACAGG